rnacentral:rRNA from 1 species
UGCAGUCGAACGCUUCUUUUUCCACCGGAGCUUGCUCCACCGGAAAAAGAGGAGUGGCGAACGGGUGAGUAACACGUGGGUAACCUGCCCAUCAGAAGGGGAUAACACUUGGAAACAGGUGCUAAUACCGUAUAACAAUCGAAACCGCAUGGUUUUGAUUUGAAAGGCGCUUUCGGGUGUCGCUGAUGGAUGGACCCGCGGUGCAUUAGCUAGUUGGUGAGGUAACGGCUCACCAAGGCCACGAUGCAUAGCCGACCUGAGAGGGUGAUCGGCCACAUUGGGACUGAGACACGGCCCAAACUCCUACGGGAGGCAGCAGUAGGGAAUCUUCGGCAAUGGACGAAAGUCUGACCGAGCAACGCCGCGUGAGUGAAGAAGGUUUUCGGAUCGUAAAACUCUGUUGUUAGAGAAGAACAAGGAUGAGAGUAACUGUUCAUCCCUUGACGGUAUCUAACCAGAAAGCCACGGCUAACUACGUGCCAGCAGCCGCGGUAAUACGUAGGUGGCAAGCGUUGUCCGGAUUUAUUGGGCGUAAAGCGAGCGCAGGCGGUUUCUUAAGUCUGAUGUGAAAGCCCCCGGCUCAACCGGGGAGGGUCAUUGGAAACUGGGAGACUUGAGUGCAGAAGAGGAGAGUGGAAUUCCAUGUGUAGCGGUGAAAUGCGUAGAUAUAUGGAGGAACACCAGUGGCGAAGGCGGCUCUCUGGUCUGUAACUGACGCUGAGGCUCGAAAGCGUGGGGAGCAAACAGGAUUAGAUACCCUGGUAGUCCACGCCGUAAACGAUGAGUGCUAAGUGUUGGAGGGUUUCCGCCCUUCAGUGCUGCAGCUAACGCAUUAAGCACUCCGCCUGGGGAGUACGACCGCAAGGUUGAAACUCAAAGGAAUUGACGGGGGCCCGCACAAGCGGUGGAGCAUGUGGUUUAAUUCGAAGCAACGCGAAGAACCUUACCAGGUCUUGACAUCCUUUGACCACUCUAGAGAUAGAGCUUCCCCUUCGGGGCAAAGUGACAGGUGNGCAUG